GAUGAACGCUAGCUACAGGCUUAACACAUGCAAGUCGAGGGGAAACGACAUCGAAAGCUUGCUUUUGAUGGGCGUCGACCGGCGCACGGGUGAGUAACGCGUAUCCAACCUGCCCAUCACUUGGGAAUAACCUUGCGAAAGUAAGACUAAUACCCAAUGAUAUCCCACGAAGGCAUCGGAAUGGGAUUAAAGAUUUAUCGGUGAUGGAUGGGGAUGCGUCUGAUUAGCUUGUUGGCGGGGUAACGGCCCACCAAGGCAACGAUCAGUAGGGGUUCUGAGAGGAAGGUCCCCCACAUUGGAACUGAGACACGGACCAAAAUCCUACGGGAGGGAGCAGUGAGGAAUAUUGGUCAAUGAGCGAGAGCCUGAACCAGCCAAGUAGCGUGCAGGAAGACGGCGCUAUGGGUUGUAAACUGCUUUUAUAAGGGAAUAAAGUGGGUAACGUGUGACUUUUUGCAUGUACCUUAUGAAUAAGGACCGGCUAAUUCCGUG
rnacentral:rRNA from 1 species